UACAGAGGCCUCGAGCGUUGUUCGGAGUUACUGGGCGUAAAGGGUGUGUAGGCGGUUGUUUAAGUUUGGUGUGAAAUCUCCCGGCUCAACCGGGAGGGUGCGCCGAAUACUGAAUGACUAGAGUGCGGGAGAGGAAAGUGGAAUUCCUGGUGUAGCGGUGAAAUGCGUAGAUAUCAGGAGGAACACCGGUGGUGUAGACGGCUUUCUGGACCGUAACUGACGCUGAGACACGAAAGCGUGGGUAGCAAACAGG
rnacentral:rRNA from 1 species